UACGUAGGGUGCAAGCGUUGUUCGGAAUUAUUGGGCGUAAAGAGCUCGUAGGCGGUCUGUCGCGUCGGCUGUGAAAUCCCGAGGCUCAACCUCGGGUCUGCAGUCGAUACGGGCAAACUGGAGUGUUGCAGGGGAGACUGGAAUUCCUGGUGUAGCGGUGAAAUGCGCAGAUAUCAGGAGGAACACCGGUGGCGAAGGCGGGUCUCUGGGCAACAACUGACGCUGAGGAGCGAAAGCGUGGGGAGCAAAAGGG
rnacentral:rRNA from 1 species